AUUGAACGCUGGCGGCAUGCUUUACACAUGCAAGUCGAACGGCAGCGCGGGGCAACCUGGCGGCGAGUGGCGAACGGGUGAGUAAUACAUCGGAACGUACCCAGAAGUGGGGGAUAACGUAGCGAAAGUUACGCUAAUACCGCAUACGUUCUACGGAAGAAAGUGGGGGAUCUUCGGACCUCAUGCUUUUGGAGCGGCCGAUGUCUGAUUAGCUAGUUGGUGAGGUAAAGGCUCACCAAGGCGACGAUCAGUAGCUGGUCUGAGAGGACGACCAGCCACACUGGGACUGAGACACGGCCCAGACUCCUACGGGAGGCAGCAGUGGGGAAUUUUGGACAAUGGGCGCAAGCCUGAUUCAGCAAUGCCGCGUGAGUGAAGAAGGCCUUCGGGUUGUAAAGCUCUUUUGUCAGGGAAGAAACGGCUGGGGCUAAUAUCCCCGGCUAAUGACGGUACCUGAAGAAUAAGCACCGGCUAACUACGUGCCAGCAGCCGCGGUAA
rnacentral:rRNA from 1 species